rnacentral:rRNA from 1 species
ACGAGUGGCGGACGGGUGAGUAACACGUGGGUAACCUGCCCUUAAGUGGGGGAUAACAUUUGGAAACAGAUGCUAAUACCGCAUAGAUCCAAGAACCGCAGGGUUCUUGGCUGAAAGAUGGCGUAAGCUAUCGCUUUUGGAUGGACCCGCGGCGUAUUAGCUAGUUGGUGAGGUAAUGGCUCACCAAGGCGAUGAUACGUAGCCKAACUGAGAGGUUGAUCGGMCACAUUGGGACUGAGACACGGCCCAAACUCCUACGGGAGGCAGCAGUAGGGAAUCUUCCACAAUGGACGCAAGUCUGAUGGAGCAACGCCGCGUGAGUGAAGAAGGCUUUCGGGUCGUAAAACUCUGUUGUUGGAGAAGAAUGGUCGGCAGAGUAACUGUUGYCGGCGUGACGGUAUCCAACCAGAAAGCCACGGCUAACUACGUGCCAGCAGCCGCGGUAAUACGUAGGUGGCAAGCGUUAUCCGGAUUUAUUGGGCGUAAAGCGAGCGCAGGCGGUUUUUUAAGUCUGAUGUGAAAGCCCUCGGCUUAACCGAGGAAGCGCAUCGGAAACUGGGAAACUUGAGUGCAGAAGAGGACAGUGGAACUCCAUGUGUAGCGGUGAAAUGCGUAGAUAUAUGGAAGAACACCAGUGGCGAAGGCGGCUGUCUGGUCUGUAACUGACGCUGAGGCUCGAAAGCAUGGGUAGCGAACAGGAUUAGAUACCCUGGUAGUCCAUGCCGUAAACGAUGAAUGCUAGGUGUUGGAGGGUUUCCGCCCUUCAGUGCCGCAGCUAACGCAUUAAGCAUUCCGCCUGGGGAGUACGACCGCAAGGUUGAAACUCAAAGGAAUUGACGGGGGCCCGCACAAGCGGUGGAGCAUGUGGUUUAAUUCGAAGCAACGCGAAGAACCUUACCAGGUCUUGACAUCUUUUGAUCACCUGAGAGAUCAGGUUUCCCCUUCGGGGGCAAAAUGACAGGUGGUGCAUGGUUGUCGUCAGCUCGUGUCGUGAGAUGUUGGGUUAAGUCCCGCAACGAGCGCAA